rnacentral:rRNA from 1 species
GAUAAACGCUGGCGGCGUGCAUAACACAUGCAAGUCGAACGAUGAAACUUAGAUUAUUUCUUCGGAAUGAACUUAAGUGGAUUAGUGUCGAACGGGUGAGUAACACUUGAGUAACCUGCCUUACACAAGGGGAUAGCCUCUGGAAACGGAGAAUAAUACCCUAUAAAGUCUAAUCAGCUCCUGCUGGAAAGACAAAAGAUUUAUCGGUGUAAGAUGGACUUGCGUCUGAUUUGCUAGUUGGUGAGAUAAAAGCUCACCAAGGCGACGAUCAGUAGCCGGCUGGAGAGAGUAUACGGCGACAUUGGGACUGAGACACGGCCCAAGCUCCUACGGGAGGCAGCAGAGGGGAAUUUUGAACAAUGGAGGAAAUCCUGCUGCAGCGACGCCGCGUGAUUUAGAAGGCCUUCGGGAUGUAAAAGGCUUUUUUACGAGAUGAGAAUGACAGGACCGUACGAAUAAGGGCCGGCUAAAUAAGUG